rnacentral:rRNA from 1 species
UACGUAGGGUGCAAGCGUUAAUCGGAAUUACUGGGCGUAAAGCGUGCGCAGGCGGUGAUGUAAGACAGAUGUGAAAUCCCCGGGCUCAACCUGGGAACUGCAUUUGUGACUGCAUCGCUAGAGUACGGCAGAGGGGGAUGGAAUUCCGCGUGUAGCAGUGAAAUGCGUAGAUAUGCGGAGGAACACCGAUGGCGAAGGCAGCCUUCUGGGCCAACACUGACGCUCAUGCACGAAAGCGUGGGGAGCAAACAGG